rnacentral:rRNA from 1 species
AUUAUUUAGAAAAGCAUAUUGUAAGUAUAUAUAGUAUAUGAAAACAAAAAAUUGUGGCGGUAUUUUAAGCUUUUCAGAGGAAUUUGCUCUUUAAUGGAUAAAACACCAAAAUCUUACUAAAAUUAGUCAAGCAGUUUGUAUACCACUAUUUAAGUAAUAAUUCGUAAUUAUUACUAUAAUUUAAUAUAUAAAAAAAGUUAAGUCAAGGUGCAGCAAAAAUUUUAGAAUGAAGUGAAUUACAUUUCUUUUAAGAGGGAAUAAAUGAAAUAAAAAAUUUAGGAUUUGAGAGUAAAAUUUUAAUAAAAUGAAAAUUUGAAUUAAGCUCUAAAAUAUGUAC